AGGCCAAAAAUAAAUGUACUAAACAUUCAUCACUAAACAAAACCGCAUCUCUAAUAAUUCUUCAGCUUAUCUCCAAUUACCGUAAUCCACUCAAUUUUCGUAUUUUCUGCUCCGGCUGCCCAAUUGGAGAACGUCCCCUCUCACGGCGGCUCCCCUCCGCCGCUCUCAUCGGAGAAUCUCUGAUUUUCUCGGUAGCAAUCCACUCGAUUUCCCUCUGCUUGGCUUCGCCGAGAAAUCGAUAGAAAUUUCAUGGAAUUUCGUUUUGUGGAAUGAUUCGCCGGUAAUUCUAUAACUCUCCCUAUUUGCUAUCUUCAAUAAUUCUCCAUAAAUCAAUGGAAUAAAUUUAAUUAUUGAGAUUCUCUUGUUUCAUGCCUCUCGCUUCAAAAAAUUUCUCGAUUAUUACUGGAUAAAAUUGUAGAAUUUGUUAAAUGACUAAGAAGAAGAGAUAUUUGGUGAAGGCUUGAAUGAUUCUCACUACUGUAAUCGUUCCCUUUAAAUAGGGAUACAGAACAUGUACAAGGAAGGUCCCCAAUCAUGAAUUUACUAUCACGAAAAUGGGGAAAAUUCAAGCCUACAAAGCGAUGCAAAGAUCUCGGUUUGGCUCGAGCUCCGCCGCGCCGGAUGAGGUCGAAGAUAGCAUGAAAACUCUCGAGGAAAAGACUGACAAAGAUAUCAUUAACAGUGUGUGGAAAAGCAAGCAUCUUAUUUUCCUGCCUAGCAAGGCUUUUUUCUCCAACAAACUACAAUGUGCAUGAAACAAGAGAUUGGAGCUUGACCAAGAUGAAGAGGAUCAAGUAAUAAAGAACAUUUGUUAUAGACGAGGUCAUGUGCGAUGCACCAAUCCCUACAAAUAACAGAUACAAGACAACAACUCUGAAGCUGUUGCUGCUGAAGAACCAUGGUAUGGUAUCGAGCAAGAGUACACACUAAUACAGAAGAAUGUUAAUUGGCAUCUUGGAUGACCAUCUGGUGGUUAUCAUCACCUCAGGUGGUUGUUACCCAGUUAGUUUUGUUGCUAUGAAAGAUUUUUUUUUUUUUGUAACUAUCUGUUAACACUAAUGUUAGUUAAUUUAGUGUUAGUUUGCGAUCUGUAUGAGGCAAAGGUCGAGUCUUGGUUAUAGGGCUCUGUGUUUUCGAUGUAUGAAUAUAUUUGGUUGGUUUGUAAAGUUGAAUACUUGCAGACUUAAUGAUAGAUUUUGUUAUGUAGCUUUAUUUGUA